GUUGACACCUGCCUUUACCUAUACCUCAGGCAGAAGGUGUGAGCUGACGUGAAAAGAAAAGGUGAAGAUUAUGGUGUAAGCCAGUGAUUUUCAAUCCACCCUACCAUAAACAAAUCUUUUCCAUUUGUCUGCUAAGGACAUCUUCUAGGACACAACGUCAUUUUACAGCACAAAUGGAUCCUUUCUCGAAGCCAGGCAAUACAGUGGUACCUCGGGUUACAGACGCUUCAGGUUACAGACUCCGCUAACCUAGAAAUAGUACCUCGGGUUAAGAUCUUUGCUUCAGGAUGAGAACAGAAAUCGUGCGCCGUCACAGCAGCAGCAGGAGGCCCCAAUAGCUAAAGUGGUACCUCAGGUUAAGAACAGUUUCAGGUUAAGAACGGACCUCCAGAACUAUUUAAGUUCUUAGCCUGAGGUACCACUGCACUCUUUUGAGGCUGCCUAUUCUAGGGAAAGAUCAGUAUUAGUGAACAAACUGUCUUUCAGUGAUAUUCGAUUUGAAUGGGUGGUGGAAGGUUGUUCUUUUGCAGGUGGCUUAAAACAUUUUUAGUUGUGGAGCUCAUAGAAUUGUAGAUUGGAAAGGAACUCCCAGAGUCUUCUAGUCCAACCCUCUGCAAUGCAGGAAUUUCAGCUAAAGCACUGGCUCCCGGUGGAGUACACGGUCAGAUUUAAGGUGCUGGUUUUGACCUUUAAAGCCCUUCACGGCUUAAGACCCUCGUACCUAUGGGACCGCCUCUCCCGGUAUGCCCCACGGAGGACCUUAAGGUCCAUAAAUAGUAACACCCUAGUGGUCCCGGGCCCUAAGGAAGUUAGAUUAGCUUCAACCAGAGCCAGGGCCUUUUCAACACUGGCUCCGGCUUGGUGGAACGCUCUGUCUCAUGAGACCAGGGCCCUGCGGGAUCUGGUUUCUUUCUGCAGGGCCUGUAAGGCAGAGUUCUUCCACCUGGCCUUUGGCUUGGAGCCAAUUUGAUUCCCUCCCCCUCUUUCUUUUUCCUUUCUCCUCCUGUGAUGAGGCUGCAUUUUAAUGUUUCAAUAUUUUAAUGUUGUAUUUUAAUCUUGUUUUUAAGUUGUAUUCAUUCAACUUGUUUUUAUUAUUGCUUGUUAGCCGCCCUGAGCCUGGCCUUGGCUGGGGAGGGCGGGGUAUAAAUAAAAAUUAUUAUUAUUAUUAUUAUCAUCCAUGACAGGUGGCCCUCCAACCUCUGCUUAAAAACCUCUGAGGAAAGAGAGUCCACACCUUCCAAGAGAGACCGUUCCACUGUCAAACAGCUCUUAGUGUCCAAAAGUUUUCCCUGGUGCUUCGUUUUUUCUUGUAACUUGAAUCCAUUGGUUUGAGUCCUACCCUCCAGAGCAGGAGAAAACAAGCUUGCUCCAUCUUCCAUGUGACAGUCCUUGAGACAUUUGAAGAUGGCUUUCAUAUCUCCUCUCAGUCACCUCUUUUCCAGGCUAAACAUACCCAGCUCCUUCAACCUUUCCUCAUAAGGCUUGGUUUCCGGACCCUUGACCAUCUCCUCUGCGCACGUCUCAGCUUUUCAGUAUCCUUCUUAAACUGUGGUGCCCAGAAUUGGACACAGUAUUCCAGCUGUUGUCUGACCAAGGCAGAAUAGAGUAGUACUAUUACUAUACUUUUUUAGAUGCAGCCUAGACCAGGUCUUGGUUGGCAGAUCUCUUCAUUAGGAAGCAUGCAUUUUCCCCCUCACUCUGGACUAGCCGCCUGAGAAACAGUUUCUAUUUAAAUGCGAUUUUGGUUUUAAACGCAGUGUAAGGUAGUCUCUAUGGGAGUAUAUUGUAUUUAAUUAUGGGGUAUCAGAGUUUUUAGGGGGCUAACCAGGCUGG